GGGGAAUUGUUCGCAAUGGGCGCAAGCCUGACGANGCANCGCCGCGUGGAGGNNGNAGAUUUUCGGAUCGUAAACUCCUUUCGANNGGGACGAAUCGUCUCCGACCUAAUACGUCGGGGGACUGACGGUACCGAGAGAAGAAGCCCCGGCUAACUCCGUGCCAGCAGCCGCGGUAAUNCGGGGGGGGCAAGCGUUGUUNGGAAUUACUGGGCGUAAAGGGCGCGUAGGCGGCCUGNUAAGUNGGACGUGAAAUCCCUCGGCUCAACCGGGGAACUGCGUCCGAUACUGGCGAGCUUGAAUCCGGGAGAGGGAUGUGGAAUUCCAGGUGUAGCGGUGAAAUGNGUAGAUAUCUGGAGGAACACCAGUGGCGAAGGCGGCAUCCUGGACCGGUAUUGACGCUGAGGCGCGAAAGCUAGGGUAGCAAACGGGAUUAGAUACCCCGGUAGUCCUAGCCCUAAACGAUGAGUGCUUGGUGUGGCGGGUAUCGAUCCCUGCCGUGCNGAAGCUAACGCAUUAAGCACUCCGCCUGGNNNNNNCGGUCGCAAGGCNGAAANUCAAAGGAAUGAC
rnacentral:rRNA from 1 species